rnacentral:rRNA from 1 species
UACGUAGGUGACGAGCGUUGUCCGGAUUUACUGGGCGUAAAGAGCGCGCAGGCGGUCGUUCAAGUCGAGUGUGAAAGCCCCCGGCUCAACUGGGGAGGGUCAUUCGAUACUGAUCGACUCGAAGGCAGGAGAGGGUAGUGGAAUUCCCGGUGUAGUGGUGAAAUGCGUAGAUAUCGGGAGGAACACCAGUGGCGAAGGCGACUACCUGGCCUGUUCUUGACGCUGAGGCGCGAAAGCUAGGGGAGCAAACGGGG